GCUUCUAUCAAUAUUAGUGGCGAACGGGUGAGUAACGCGUAAUCAACCUGCCCUUCAGAGGGGGACAACAGUUGGAAACGACUGCUAAUACCGCAUACGAUCCAAUCUCGGCAUCGAGGAUGGAUGAAAGGUGGCCUCUAUUUAUAAGCUAUCACUGGAGGAGGGGAUUGCGUCUGAUUAGCUAGUUGGAGGGGUAACGGCCCACCAAGGCAAUGAUCAGUAGCCGGUCUGAG
rnacentral:rRNA from 1 species